rnacentral:rRNA from 1 species
CGUGGAUGAUGUGGAUUAAUUCGAUGCAACGCGUAAGAACCUUACCUACCUUGACAUGUCCGGAACUUGCCAGAGAUGGCUUGGUGCCCGAAAGGGAAUUCGGAACACAGGUGCUGCAUGGCUGUCGUCAGCUCGUGUCGUGAGAUGUUGGGUUAAGUCCCGCAACGAGCGCAACCCUUAUCAUUAGUUGCUACGCAAGGGCACUCUAAUGAGACUGCCGGUGACAAAUCGGAGGAAGUGGGGAUGGCGUCAAGUCCUCAUGGCCCUUAUGGGUAGGGCUUCACACGUCAUACAAUGGUCGGUACAGAGGGUUGCCAAGCCGCGAGGCGGAGCCAAUCCCACAAAGCCGAUCGUAGUCCGGAUUGUUCUCUGCAACUCGAGAGCAUGAAGUCGGAAUCGCUAGUAAUCGCAGGUCAGCAUACUGCGGUGAAUACGUUCCCGGGUCUU